rnacentral:lncRNA from 1 species
AUGGAUAAUAUAGAUAAAUGGAGAUUCCAUCAUUGCUAAAAUAGAAGAAUCAACCUCGUAACAGCUAUCUGAAGACAGAAUACUUAAGGACCUGCAAAAUAGAGUGAAAGACCAGGUAUCAGGCAGUGAGAUAUCCUCCUCCACAGACUCCCUCUUAGAGGAUCCCUCUUCCAUAAUAAAGAAACAUCAAGAACAAGCUUUGUAGGCA